rnacentral:lncRNA from 1 species
UGUGCUAUAGAUAUAUUAGCACAAAUAUCCAAAAUACAUGUAAAACAUAUUUAUUGCAGCAUUUUUGUAAUAUCAAAAGUCUGAAAACAAUCUAAAUGUUUAUUAGUUAGAGACUGAUACCUCUAGCCUCAUGCUUGUAAUCCCAGCACUUUGGGAGGCCGAGGCGGGUGGAUCACGAGGUCAAGAGAUCGAGACCAUCCUGGUCAACAUGGUGAAACCCCGUCUCUACUAAAAAUACAAAAAAAAUCAGCUGGGCGUGGUGGCGUUUGCCUGUAAUCCCAGCUACUCAGGAGGCUGAGGCAGGAGAAUUGCCUGAACCCAGGAGGCGGAGGUUGCGGUGAGCCGAGAUCACGCCGCUGCACUCCAGCCUGGGUAACAAGAGCGAAACUCCGGCUCAAAAAAAAAAAAAAAAAAAAAAAGGAGAGACUGAUACUUCUAGCAAAACAUCACAGGAGUCUCUUUGCAUGAGGUCUAAACACUCUCCCAAGUGUAUUCUUUAAAAAACAGAUUUAUUGAAAUGUAAUUUAUAUGCAAUAAGUCACCCAUGUAAUGCACACAAUUUAGUAGUUUUUCUUUUUUUUUUUUUGAGAUGGAGUUUCGCUCUUGUUACCCAGGCUGGAGUGCAAUGGCGCGAUCUCGGCUCACCGCAACCUCCGCCUCCUGGGUUCAGAACAAGACAGAACUAUCUCUGUUUCUGGCUCCACUGCCUGCCAGUGAAGGAGUUUUCAUUCAGACUUUCCGAGGAGAGGUGGAGAAACCUGAAGACUCAGGAGAAGAAAUCCUUUGAGCCAGCUGGGGCAUUAGUCCUUCUGCUUUUCUCAGCAUGGAUAAACCCUUUCCUCAAGGAUUUUUUCAUGUGCCCUGAGGUCCAUGUAACUACAAGGGCUCCUCUUUAUCACCAUAAGUGCCACCCUGACCUAAAACCACUCAG